GUCGUAACAAGGUUUCCGUAGGUGAACCUGCGGAAGGAUCAUUAUUGAAUAAACUUGGUUGGGUUGUUGCUGGCUUUUCGGAGCAUGUGCACGCCUAGCGCCAUUUUUACCACCUGUGCACUUCUUGUAGAUUUGAAACAUCUCUCGAGGAAACUCGGUUUGAGGACUGCUAUGCGUAAAAGCUAAGCUUUCCUUGCGUUUCAAGUCUAUGUUUUUAUAUACCCCAUAAGAAUGUUUUAGAAUGUCAUUAAUGGGCUUCAUUGCCUCUAAAUUAAUACAACUUUCAACAACGGAUCUCUUGGCUCUCGCAUCGAUGAAGAACGCAGCGAAAUGCGAUAAGUAAUGUGAAUUGCAGAAUUCAGUGAAUCAUCGAAUCUUUGAACGCACCUUGCGCUCCUUGGUAUUCCGAGGAGCAUGCCUGUUUGAGUGUCAUUAAAUUCUCAACCUUUUCAGCUUUUGCGAGUUGGAUUGGCUUGGAUGUGGGGGUUUGCGGGCUUCUCAGAAGUCGGCUCCUCUUAAAUGCAUUAGCGGAACCUUUGUGGACCAGCUUUGGUGUGAUAAUUAUCUACGCCAUGGUUGUGAAGCAGCUUUACAUGGGGUUCAGCUUCUAACCGUCCAUUAACUUGGACAAAUUUUGACAUUUUGACCUCAAAUCAGGUAGGACUACCCGCUGAACUAA
rnacentral:rRNA from 2 species